rnacentral:lncRNA from 1 species
CGGGUUGAAUAAUCAAGAAGAUCCCAAUUCAUUCAAAGCUCUAACUAUCACUGAGCAACACAUGCUUCAAUGACAAUCUGAACUUCGAAUUAAUUUGUAAAACGGAAAUUCUUUAGAAACUUGAAGAUUAGAAAGAAUGGGUCAGAAUACUCGCACUUUCGAACAUUGAAAAGAAAGGUAUGAAUACUUGAAACAUAUACCAAAGGAAUGGAUCAGAAUAUUUGCAAUAUAUCCAAGAGAAAGGUUUAGGAUACUUGCAACACAUCAAAAGAAUGAAUCAGAAUAUUUGCAAUAUAUCCAAAAGAAGGGUGUAGGAUACUUGCCUUAAAUCUGACUCCAGUCUCACAUCUCUAUCUCAUCUUUCAACUUUCACAAUCUAUGCAUCUCAUAAUCUCUAGACCAUCUCUAGCUAUACUCUAUUCGCCACAUCGCUUCGCUUACUCGAUUCAUCCCUUAUUCGCUUUGCAAUACCAUUCCGACUUCCUGACGUCUUCGAGCGUACAAGUCUCCUCCCAAUCCUUUACGAGAAUAAGAUAAUACUAUAGUCACUAAACAAUAUAUCGCAUAUACAUAUCACGUAUAUCGAUACCCACUUAUAUACCCCUUUAAACUUAUCACAUAUCACUUAACACGUAAUCAUGCUUUGACUCUACCAUAUAGUCAAGUCAUAUUCCACCUAACAUAUCACAAAUCAAUUAUCAUAUAAAUCCUAUCGAUAAUUUGACAGCGUCUCGUCUAUUUGUAGGACUAUCCACAUGUUAUCCUAUUCUCAAUCAACAACCAACCAAUCAAAUCCAGUCACUAUAAUCCAUACGUUCUUAUCCAAUAUUAAUCAAAUCAUGACACUAUGUCAUAUAAGUCAUUUAUCACGUACAUAAUAUCAGGAAUAGACAUAUAUAUCACGUAAUCAUUAAUUAAUAACAAUCCAAUAACACAUAAUCACAUUCGGCACAUUUAACAACAAUUAUUCACAUUCUCGACUCCAUCAUAUUAUUAUGUCAUAUCAAACUAGACUUUAUAAGCUUUUAUCUCUCUUUCGUUUCACUUGAUUCCGACUUACGGAUCAAAAGAUAUGGUCAAAACCGUUUUCUGACUCCGCUCUCAACAUAUAAUACCUUACACCGAUAGCAGACAACACAUUACACAUUAAGUCUCCCAUCCCACUUGAUGUCAAAUCAAUUCCUGGGUUUAAAAUGAUUUUUCGGGAAUUUUCUGGAAUUUUUAAACAUUUUUCGGAAUUAAAAUCGAUAAAAGAAUCACUUUUCAGAUAAAUAAUCAAGUCCCAAUACUUAAAAUUGGACUUGAAAUCAUUCAUAAACAAUUAUCGAGCCUUGAAAAUAAUUUAGAAAAAUAUUUUAAAGCUCGAAACUAUUUUUCGGAAUUUUUAAAUCAAAAAGGAUUAAUUAAAUCCAAUUAAUUAAUCAAUUAAAAUCAAUUAAUAAUUAAUCAAAACAAUUAAUCAAUUAAUAUUUAAAUUAAUUGACCAAUUAAAAUAAUUAAUUACUAAUUAAAAUUAAUUAAUAAAUCAAAUUAGAUUUAUUUUUGAAUAAAAAUAUAAUUAAAAACUAUUUUUGGAAUUAAAAUAAAUAAAUAAAAACAAUUUUUGAAAAUUAAAAUCAAAAGGUUUAAAGUGUAAAAUUUUAAAACUUUGUCGCAGGGUUUAAACUGCAACAUUUCAAAAGUUCAGGGGGCUCUUUGUCAGAAAUGAAAACUCGGUGGUGAAACUUCACCACCUCUAUAAGUUAGGGGGCUAAACUGUAAUUAUACAGUCGCCGCCCCCCUUUCCGUCGCCGGCCACCGUUGGUGGUUUAAACCAGCCCAGAAUCUCACCAUGAAGUGCAGUUUUAUAGUAAUCAACACCAGGAACUCGAAUAUAUCAACCAAUUAAGCAGUGGUUCCAUGAAUCAGCCGGAAAACCAAAUCAAAGGUUCGUCUCCGGCGAACCUUAAAAUUUUCGAUCCACUCGAAAACGACCUCCUCCACCCUCACUAAGCAUGUAAAACUACUCCCCACAACAAGCUGAUCAUUAUGGUGACCUUCAAAACUGCCCAGAUUCAACCGAAUGAAAAAUCCGGCGAAAACUCAAAAUUUCCGGCGGAAAACGCAAGAACACCAAGAACACUCAAUUUCAAAGAUUAAACUGACUUUUCGAGGUGUUAUUGAACUCAAAAUUCAACAUAUAAUAUACCAAAACGACGAGAAAAACAUGCUCUACAACAUGGAAUCAUCAAAACAAUCAAACAAACACGUUUGCAAAAAUUCACUAUUUAAAUCAUAAUAAUUCGAAUUUUAAAACUUCAAUUACUCCCUACCUGUGAAUCUCAUGUUGUUUUUGAUGAUUGAUUUGGGUUCUACUCUUCGAUAUCUUCGAUUUGACUAUUCGCACGCUUGAUUCUGACUCCAAUAACACCUUCAAAUCUUCGUUUGAUUAUGAAGAACACGAAGAACACCGCUCGGUUUCUCUCGGUAUUCGUGCAGAGAAACUGGUGAAAUGAUUUUACGGGUGAAAAUAAGCUCUAGAAAGGUCUAUUUAUAUUUACAAAUAAUUGGUACCCCUUUGGAUCGUUUAUGACAUGAAAAUACGUAUUUAAUAGCUUUAUAUUAAUAAAGCGGGGUCCAAUCGGUACUGGUUUUCGAGAUAAUCAUCAAAACGGGGCUUUUUAACUCAAUUAUUGGUCUGCGGGUCCCAUUGCAAUUAUUACAAGAUAAGGAUGAAUAUAAUAAUCAAAAUAUCUCGUUUCACGUUUAUCGAGACAAACUGGAUAAUUAUCAACAAUUAAAAUACCCGAAAAACUCCGCCGGACCGACUCCGGGGAAAACCGUACUCCGGAUCGAAAAAGUCAAAACACGAAAAGUGUCCGGAAUAUUCAAAUUAGGCUAAAGGUCAGUUUUGUUGAAACUUUCGGGAAGAAAAUUUGCUACCUCGUUACGAGUGGACGGUUUUACGGAAGUCAAAUAAUUAAUAAAUAAAUAUAAAUAUACGCAAUUAAAUCCGUAAAUCGAUUAUAAAAUCAUCUAACAUUCCAUAAAUCGAUAUGAAAAUAUCCAAAUAAACUAUAUUUUCUCCUGAGCAUAUAGAAAUUGAAAUCUCUCAAAUACGAACACAUAUGAGCAGUUAACGCAAUAAACCAGAUAAUAUAAAAUUCACAAAAAUUCAUAUAUUAAUCAUAUAAUACUCAUAAUUAACCAUAAUUAAUUAACCAACAAAUCCACCAAUACCACUUAAUCACAUCACACAUAUAUUCACAUAAUAUUCAUACAGAAUUUUCAAAACAAUAUAUGAAAAUCAGUUUUGAAAAUACAAUUAUUUAUCAAUAACACAAUAACCCGGGGUUUAAAUAUAAAACUUUGAAAACUCAUUAAACUGGAAUAAAAUAUUAAAUCUUAUUCCUUUCUUUUUAAGAAAAUCAUUUAUAAUAUUAAUAAAAAUAUUUUUAAAAUCCGGGUUAUUACAAUCUACCCUCCUUAUAGGGAUUCCGUCCUCGGAAUCAGAGAAAGAAGGAGGACGCAAAAUCUGUAAAAUCCAUAUUAAUCCAAAUAACAAAAAUAAUCACAUUCACACUAUUCACAUAAUCAUGUCACUAUUCCAUUAAAGCCAACAAUAAUAUCAACAUAUUAGAUCUAUAAUAAUCAUAAACUAAUUUUAAAAACAUGGGAUAUUACAUUCUACCCCCCUUAUAAGGAUUCUGUCCUCAGAAUCCGCGAUGAGAACUAAAACGUAUCAUUUAUAAGAUCAUUGUACAGCCUUCAUAAUAUCACAUGCUUAUCCGCCUUUGAUCAACUUUGGCAUACCUUCAAAGUUAAAGAAAUAGGAGAAUCAAAACCUUCACAAUUGCAAACUUCAUUUCCCAAGAAUCAAUCUUUGGGAAUUUCGGAGGAACAAGAUGUUUUCAAAAUAGGUCACAUUGGAAUACAAGAGUGACUGGGAGAUCAAUACGAUCAAAUGAACUUAAUGUUGCGUGUCCAUAUUAGACACUACUAAAGGUUGUUAACCUUCUUGUAAUCACAACACACACAAGUGAUGGCGUCCCAUCCAACUCCUAUCACACAGACAGGUAUACCUUGUGUCCCCUAUAAAUAGGGUUGUUCAUCCCAAUCAAAUUGAAAGAAUCCAAGGAAUCUCAAAGAAUAUCAAAGAAUCUCGAGAAUAUCAAAGAACAUCAAGGGAUAUCAAGGAUGAUGAAAGAAUAUCAAGGAAUGUCAAGAAAUGUCAAACAAUAUCAAGGAACAUCACUAUCUCUUCACAACAAACCUUUAUCACACCUCUUUGCUUUCCAACUCAUAUCAAUAAUCAAUAUCAAUGUCAUCUUAGAAUUUGAGAAUUUGAAGAUCUCAUUUAUCAAAACUUUUGUGGAAAAGAUAUCAUGAUAAUAUCUCACUGAUGAUAAAACAAUCAAAAGAAUCUUUAGUUGAAGAGAGGUAUUGCCAAGGUCUUCUCAGGUUCCUACUUUACUUCAAUAAAUCAUUGUACGAUAUAUGUCUUCUUUUCAACGUUCUUGAUGAUCAAUCGAUUUGACUCGUAAUAGCCUCGUAAGAUGUCAUUGUAGACGUUAUCGUCCGUAACAACUCUGGCCCAUGUAGUUUACAUUCUUCUACUUUAUCCCAGUUGCCUUUGAAAUCCAUAGCACAAACACGUAACGUAUCUUCGAUUGUCUGGAUCAUCAACCUGUGGGUUAUGGGCCCACCUUGAUGCCAUUUGAAAUCCCGAUUAGCUCGAAGCGUUGUCGUCGAGGACUAACGUUCUAACUUACUCGUAGACAUCAUCUCUAAUAACUGGACUCAAUUCCACGUACUCUCUAUCAUUCACUUCUCACCUAUCAACCUCUAUCUACCAAUCUCUCCUUCUAAUCCAAUACAACUCAUACUCUACACUUACUCUUCAUAUCUUCACUCAAAACAAUAUACAUCUUCCAAAUAUCUGACAUGGUCAACAUACUAUGAACCAUGCAUUUAUAUCAUCCUCAAAUCAAUACAAUAAUCCAAUUUUCAACUAUGCAGUAUAGUCAGAAUACUCUGAACUCUGCAUUUUCACCAUUCUCAACUCAGUCAUUCACUAUCAACCUUUUCUAUAUAGGUCUAAUACUGACCUUUCCCACAAUGCACCAUCUCAAUUAAUCCACAUACUAGAAAUCAUAUGUCUAAACUUAAGAAUCCUAAUCUCUUUAAACCUAUACACUCAAUUUAAUCGUCUAACCAGAUUCUAUACCUCCAUCACAUCUCUAGACUAUCUCUAAAUAGUCUCACAACACCCCUAUACGAGGUUACCCAACAUUCUUCUCUAGAGAACCUAUAACUAUGAUCUAUGUUCUAAUUUCAAAUACUUAUAACCUGUUGCUCUGAUACCAACUGUGACAGUCCAAGAAUCCGGGGGUCUGGAUUCUGACGUCACCACACAAAACCUUUUUAAAACACUUUUGAAACCCUGUAUUUUUAUUUAAAAAUAAUGAAAAUCCAAAAGAAUUUAAAACUUGGAAACAUUUAUUAAAAGAUUUGAAUAAGAACAUAAUUCAAAUGAUUUCAAAACUUGAAUUCCAGACUUGAAAACCAUCAUAAAAGAAUUUCCAGAAAAUCUUUAAACUUUAAUAAAUGAUUCGAAAUAGAACAUUUAAACCCCCAAAAACAACAGGAUCGCUUCCAGGUUACAGUAUUGAAAUUAGAAUCCACCACUAACACAACAAUUCUUACCAAAUCAGAUCAUCUUCGAUACGAAGAAUCACUGUUAACUCUUCCAGCUCCGACUUACACUUGAAUCCCUAUAGCACCGUUCUAGCUUGCACCAACCUCAUCACUUUCCUGAACACUCCUCGACCACUGGAUCCUCAACUCUGUCUCCUCGUCUAGCAUUAGCCUUAUUCACAAUCUCAACCAAUCAUCUCAUCUUUAAGCCUUUCUGAAAUGGUUAGAAAGGAAUAGCAAGGGUGAGCAACAAUGCUCAGCAAGUAAUAAUAAACAAUGAUAAUUCUGAAAUGAUAUAACAGAAGUUCACGAGUUCAAGAUAUAAGAGGAUUCAACCUGAGUUCAUGAGUUCAUGGUAUUGCAUAGAAUGAUUUACAAUACCUUGCAUCAUUUAAACUGAGAAAUUCAAUCUUUCCAAAGAAUUAUUGAAUUGGACUAUCACAUUUUAAUUAAAACCAAGGUUAGGCAGCUGAUCAGUUCCGCACUAACCCCGAGCAGGCCCCGCCAUGCUCUAUCACUGGAUCCAAGGCACUCAUUGGCCUAACAUGACCACGAAUCUGGUCCACAGGUUUAUAUAAAAACAAUAAUCCAAUUCUCUAAUUCAAUAACAGGUCAAUGUAUAACAACAGAACAUAACCACACCCAAUAUCAAUGAUAGAAUAAUUCCAAAUCAAACUUUGAUAAUCAACUUUUCAUAAACCAGAGUCCAUCCUUCCAUAAAUCAUGGUCCAGGAAAUCCUUAACUAUUCAGUAUCCUCCAUUAUCGGCUAAGCAACUGAAUUUAGCCUGCUAAACCAGCAUGACAAUGGCAGGUUGAAUAAUCAAGAAGAUCCCAAGUCAUUCUAGGUUCUAAUCAUCACUGAGCAACACAUGCUUCAAUGACAAUCGGAACUUCGAAUUAAUUUGUAAAACUGGAAUUAUCUGAAUUUUUUGAGGAUUAGAAAAGGAUGGAUAAAAUAUUUACACUUUCAAAUAUAAAAAGGAGAGGAACGAAUAUUUGCAACACAUUCGAAAAGAAUGGAUCAGAAUAAUUGCAAGAUAUCCAAAAGAAGGGUAUAGGAUACUUGCCUUAAAUCUGACUCCCGUCUCACAGCUCAUUCUCAUCUUUCCACUUUCGCAAUCUAUGCAUCUCAUAAUCUCUAGACCAUCUCUAGCUAUACUCUAUUCGCCACAUCGCUUCGCUUACUCGAUUCAUCCCUUAUUCGCUUUGCAAUACCAUUCCGACUUCCUGACGUCUUCGAGCGUACACGUCUCCUCCAAAUCCUUUACGAGAAUAAGAUAAUACUAUAGUCACUAAACAAUAUAUCGCAUAUACAUAUCACGUAUAUCGAUACCCACUUAUAUACCCCUUUAAACUUAUCACAUAUCACUUAACACGUAAUCAUGCUUUGACUCUACCAUAUAGUCAAGUCAUAUUCCACAUAACAUAUUACCAAUCACUUAUCAUAUGAAUCCUAUCGAAAAUCCGACAUCGUCUCGUCUAUUUAUUAGACUAUCCACCUGUUAUCCUAUCUCAAUCAACAAUCAACCAACAAGAUCCAAUCACUAUAAUCCAUAUGUCCUUAUCCAAUAUUAAUCAAAUCAUGACACUAUGUCAUAUAAGUCAUUUAUCACGUACAUAAUAUCAGGAAUAGACAUAUAUAUCACGUAAUCAUUAAUUAAUAACAAUCCAAUAACACAUAAUCACAUUCGGCACAUUUAACAACAAUUAUUCACAUUCUCGACUCCAUCAUAUUAUUAUGUCAUAUCAAACUAGACUUUAUAAGCUUUUAUCUCUCUUUCGUUUCACUUGAUUCCGACCUACAGAUCAAAAGAUAUGGUCAAAACCGUUUUCUGACUCCGCUCUCAACAUAUAAUACCUUACACCGAUAGCAGACAACACAUUACACAUUAAGUCUCCCAUCCCACUUGAUGUCAAAUCAAUUCCUGGGUUUAAAAUGAUUUUUCGUGAAUUUUCUGGAAUUUUUAAACAUUUUUCGGAAUUAAAAUCGAUAAAAGAAUCACUUUUCAGAUAAAUAAUCAAGUCCCAAUACUUAAAAUUGGACUGGAAACCAUUCAUAAACAAUUAUCGAGCCUUGAAAAUAAUUUAGAAAAAUAUUUUAAAGCUCGAAACUAUUUUUCGGAAUUUUUAAAUCAAAAAGGAUUAAUUAAAUCCAAUUAAUUAAUCAAUUAAAAUCAAUUAAUAAUUAAUUAAAACAAUUAAUCAAUUAAUAUUUAAAUUAAUUGACCAAUUAAAAUAAUUAAUUACUAAUUAAAAUUAAUUAAUAAAUCAAAUUAGAUUUAUUUUUGAAUAAAAAUAUAAUUAAAAACUAUUUUUGGAAUUAAAAUAAAUAAAUAAAAACAAUUUUUGAAAAUUAAAAUCAAAAGGUUUAAAGUGUAAAAUUUUAAAACUUUGUCGCAGGGUUUAAACUGCAACAUUUCAAAAGUUCAGGGGGCUCUUUGUCAGAAAUGAAAACUCGGUGGUGAAACUUCACCACCUCUAUAAGUUAGGGGGCUAAACUGUAAUUAUACAGUCGCCGCCCCCCUUUCCGUCGCCGGCCACCGUUGGUGGUUUAAACCAGCCCAGAAUCUCACCAUGAAGUGCAGUUUUAUAGUAAUCAACACCAGGAACUCGAAUAUAUCAACCAAUUAAGCAGUGGUUCCAUGAAUCAGCCGGAAAACCAAAUCAAAGGUUCGUCUCCGGCGAACCUUAAAAUUUUCGAUCCACUCGAAAACGACCUCCUCCACCCUCACUAAGCAUGUAAAACUACUCCCCACAACAAGCUGAUCAUUAUGGUGACCUUCAAAACUGCCCAGAUUCAACCGAAUGAAAAAUCCGGCGAAAACUCAAAAUUUCCGGCGGAAAACGCAAGAACACCAAGAACACUCAAUUUCAAAGAUUAAACUGACUUUUCGAGGUGUUAUUGAACUCAAAAAUUAACAUAUAAUAUACCAAAACGACGAGAAAAACAUGCUCUACAACAUGGAAUCAUCAAAACAAUCAAACAAACACGUUUGCAAAAAUUCACUAUUUAAAUCAUAGUAAUUCGAAUUUUAAAACCCCAAUUACUCCCUACCUGUGAAUCUCAUGUUGUUUUUGAUCAUUGAUAUGGAUUCUACUCUUCGAUAUCUUCGAUUUGACUACUCGCACGCUUGAUUCCGACUCCAAUAACGCCUUCAAAUCCACGUUUGAAUAUGAAGAACACGAAGAACACCGCUCGGUUUCUCUCGGUAUUCGUGCAGAGAAACUGGUGAAAUGAUUUUACGGGUGAAAAUCAGCUCUAGAAAGGUAUAUUUAUAUUUACAAAUAAUUGGUACCCCUUUGGAUCGUAUAUGGCAUGAAAAUACGUAUUUAAUAGCUUUAUAUUAAGAAAGUGGGGUCCAAUCGGUACUAGUUUUCAAGAUAAUCAUCAAAACGGGGCUUUUUAACUCAAUUAUUGGUCUGCGGGUCCCAUUGCAAUUAUUACAUGAUAAGGAUGAAGAAAAUAUCUCGGUUCACGUUUAUCGAGACAAAAUGGAUAAUUAUCGAAUACCGAAAAGCUCCGCCGGACCGGCUCCAGGGAAAACCGUACUCCGGAUCGAAAAAGUCAAAACACGAAAAAUGUCCGGAAUAUUGAUAUUAGGCUAAUGGUGAGUUUUCUCGAAACUUCCGGGAAGAAAAUUUGCUACCUCGUUACGAGUGGACGGUUUUACGGAAGUCAAAUAAUUAAUAAAUAAAUAUAAAUAUACACAAUUAACUCCGUAAAUCGAUUAUAAAAUCAUCUAACAUUCCAUAAAUCAAUAUAAAAAUAUCCAAAUAAACUAUAUUUUCUCCUGAGCAUAUAGAAAUUGAAAUAUCUCAAUUACGAACACAUACGAGCAUUCAGCUCAAUAAACUAGAUAAUACAAAAUUCACAAAAAUUCAUAUAUUAAUCAUAUAAUAUUAAUAAUUAAUCAUAACUAAUUAACAAACAAAUUCACCAAUACCACUUAAUCACAUAACACAUAUAUUCACAUAAUAUUCAUACAGAAUUUUCAAAACAAUAUAUAAAAAUCCAUUUUGAAAAUACAAUUAUUUAUCAAUAAUACAAUAACCCGGGGUUUAAAUAUAAACCUUUGAAAACUCAUUAAACUGGAAUAAAAUAUUAAAUCUUAUUCCUUUCUUUUUAAGAAAAUCAUUUAUAAUAUUAAGAAAAAUAUUUUUAAAAAUCCGGGUUAUUACA